rnacentral:rRNA from 1 species
CUCGUAGGCGGCCAACUAAGUCGGAUGUGAAAUCCCCAAGCUUAACUUGGGAACUGCAUCCGAUACUGGAUGGCUUGAAUCCGGGAGAGGGAUGCAGAAUUCCAGGUGUAGCGGUGAAAUGCGUAGAUAUCUGGAGGAAUACCGGUGGCGAAGGCGGCAUCCUGGACCGGCAUUGACGCUGAUGAGCGAAAGCGUAGGGGAGCAAACG